GUCACUGAAAAACAAACACUGAUCCGGUAAGGCCAGAUCGGAGUUAUCAACGGGUCAAUCAAGUAAAUUUUACCUUAAAAAACCCAAGCGACUCUGUGUUGGCUAAAUCAAUAAAUUGCGCUCCACAAUCUAAACUGAGUAAACGUUUACAACAACACCUGAGAUGAACCGACAGCUACUCUCUAUUUUAGCAAUAAUAACUUUCCUCACGAUAGCUGACCUUAGCAGCAGAACUGGUUGUGAAGCGAAUCAACGACGUAGAAGGUUCACGUGGCACCGAAGGCGUUUGAUCACACAUCGACCGACGAAGUCUGCAUGGAAUAAAAAUGGCCAGGUGAACAUGAAUUCACAAAAGCCAGCACAAAAUGAUGAUGACACAAUAGAAACACAAGAUUUUGAUAAUGAAGAACAGGUUGGAAAAUUCUACGAGGAAAUGUUCGGAAGUGGUGAUAUGCGUUACCCACAUGAACCUUGAUUUUUACGAAGACUAGAGAUGUUAAAUGGAGUCGAUAAAAAUAUAGUUUUGUAAAUGUUUUAAAUUCAUUAUAUUAAUUUAUAGAAAGGAAAUUGUAUUAUUUAACUGAUUUAUUAAAGAGGAUUAUUGGUGCGUCUUGAAACAUUACACGAAUCAUCACCUGCAAUCUUCGUAGGUCUCCGUUGUCUCUAAAGUAUUAUUGUCACAUCCCAUUCUUGGAAAAUUCAGUGAUUUACGAGAGUGAUUGCUUUUUUUUCUCAAGAAAACUAUGAGACUACAACCGAAAAUAGUACACGUACAGACUUUUCCAUAUAUAACUCACUGAAAAACCAGCAUACAUUCAGUUACGUAUUUUUUACACUGAUGAGACUGAAAGUUACAAACCUUUUCUGGGUGAUCCUACAAAAUACAGAUUGACUGAAUAAACUAAUCAACAGAUCAGUUAUUAGCAGCUAUUACGCAAUGCACAUUGGAAAAUUUCUACCAUGCAAAAUGUUUAAUCAGUCAUUUAAGUCUCUCAUAAAAAAAGUGUAUUUCUGGAAAGAAAAUGUUUUAAACUAUUACGAUAGUUUUACUUCAUGCAACUUUUAAAAGUAUAUAAGUGUACAACUGUAAUAUAAUGAAGACAGAAGACGUGAAACAGUGCUGAAUUUGGCAUGGUUCUGUGCUUCUCCAUCUCUAAGACAUUAAAACUGAAUAUCAAACGGAAAGGAAGAUGAUUGAAAGGUAAGCAGUUGAAUAAAAACGCCAGUAACAGUUUGAACAGAAUUUAAACUCACUUUUGUAGAUUCAAAAUAAUUAGAAAAUAAAAAGAAAA